AUCAUUAUUGAAUUUUAAUGAGGAGUUGGUUGUUGCUGGCCUUGGGAUUUUUUUAAUUAAUUAUUCCAGGCACUUGUGCACACCUUCUCUUUUCAUCCACACACACCUGUGCACUUGUGAGACAGACUGUGGGGACUUUAUUGAACCCCGUCUGUCUACUUAAUUUACACACACUCUAUUUAAUUUAAACUGAAUGUAAUUGAUGUAACGCAUCUAAUACU
rnacentral:misc_RNA from 1 species